rnacentral:misc_RNA from 1 species
GAAAUGCGAUAUGUAAUGCGAAUUGCAGAAUCAGUGAACCAUCAAAGCUUCGAACGCAGACUGCGCUCUGGGAGCACGCCUCUUUCAGGGUCGACAAAACACACUCCAGGACGACCUAAAUGGUCAUUCUGGGAGAGUUGUCUCAGCAACACAUUUACUGAGACACUUGAAACAUUGUGACAUCAUUAGAUAUCGUGGAGAGAUCAAAUUACAAAGUCUCGACGCCCCACCCUUCGUGGUGAAUUUUAUUAUUCCCUUUCUAACGGUUUUUAUGGAAUUAACUUUCCUUUUACUUUAGACCUGAGAUGAAGCGAGACUACCCGCUGAAUUUAA